UCAGUGGUAUGAAGAUCUUAUGCUGUUUCAGAAUAUUUAGAUCGGUAUAUAAACAGUGGACGUGGACUAAAAGUCCCAUGUCCUGAUCAUCGCAUUCAAGAUGGAAAUAAUGUCCACAGACUGAAACUUCUACAGCUACAAGAUAAAGAAGAGGAAGAUCCAGCGGUUGUUUUGGCUGUUUCAGUCUGACAGCAGCAGAAGAAGAAGGACAUUCUAAUAUACUCCACAUA